GCUUCCUUGGCUCAGUUGGCUAGAGCGCAGGUCUCAUACUGAGUAUGAUGUUAAUGAUUUGAACAAUAAUCCUGAGGUCGCAAGUUCGAGCCUUGCAGGGAGCA